GCGCGUAAAUUGCCCGAAUCCUGACACAGGGAGGUAGUGACAAGAAAUAACAAUACAGGGCCAUCUUGGUCUUGUAAUUGGAAUGAGUACAAUUUACAUCUCUUCACGAGGAUCAAUUGGAGGGCAAGUCUGGUGCCAGCAGCCGCGGUAAUUCCAGCCCCAAUAGCGCAUAUUAAAGUUGUUGCAGUUAGAACGCUCGUAGUCGGAUUUCGGGGCGGGACGACCGGUCUGCCGAUGGGUAUGCACUGGUGGUCGCGUCCUUCCUUCCGGAGACCGUGCCUACUCCUAACUGAGCGGGUGCGGGAGACGGAUCGUUUACUUUGAAAAAAUCAGAGUGUUUCAAGCAGGCAGCUCGCUCUUGCAUGGAUUAGCAUGGGAUAAUGAAAUAGGACUUUGGUGCUAUUUUGUUGGUUUUGAACACCGAAGUAAUGAUUAACAGGGACAGUCAGGGGCACUCGUAUUCC
rnacentral:rRNA from 1 species